rnacentral:tRNA from 1 species
GGGGGUAUAGCCCAGUGGAAGAGCACAUGCUUAGCAUGCAUGAAGUCCUGGGUUCAAUCCCCAAUACUUUCU